UAAGACAUGUGAAGAUAUACUCAAAGUGUCAGAUAAAUGUACAAAUAAAUAAAUAAUAAAGAAUUGAGUACCGAUCAAAAAUAUGUGUAUCAAACUCAUCAUGUUAUAUUGGAAGGCCCUGUUUUAGAUGAUUUUCUUUUUAAAUCCAGGAAAUAUAAAUCAUUCAAGAUGGCUUACAACUGCCAAUAGGAUUCUACGUCUGUAUGUUUCUGAAGAAAAUCUUUCUGAUAACUUUAUCUGUCUGAUUAAUUGAGAUCCAAAGAUACAAAUUCAAACAGACGAGAAGAUAAUGACUCCUGUAUAACUUGUUUGGAUUGAGAAGGCCAAAAAUAUAAGGAUCGAACUCGUUAUCUCGUUUUGCUAAUGUCUGGGUUGAAAAGAUGAAGCUCGGAGAGGAUUUGUUUUAGGCAGUUCUGAAGUACUAUUAUCCGUUGACCAUGAGUUAUGCAGCAUGGAUUGUUGACUGCGAAUUCUAUUAGUUUAAUCAACUUUUAUAAUGUGCCUCUUCCCCCUAAUUUCAAUCACUGUGAAAGUAAAUGGAAGUAGAAAAUACGCCUUGUCUCAGCUUGGUUCUAACUACAAUUGUAUACCAAUGGAGACCAAAUGUAAUAUAUAAUAUUUUACCUAUGAGAAUGUUGGCGAAAAAAAAGGAUUAGUAAAACACAUAAAAUAGUUAAAAUAUUAUACGUAUUUUUUUUAAUAAUAAUA
rnacentral:lncRNA from 1 species